rnacentral:rRNA from 1 species
CCAGACUCCUACGGGAGGCAGCAGUGGGGAAUAUUGGGCAAUGGACGCAAGUCUGACCCAGCAACGCCGCGUGAAGGAAGAAGGCUUUCGGGUUGUAAACUUCUUUUAAGGGGGAAGAGCAGAAGACGGUACCCCUUGAAUAAGCCACGGCUAACUACGUGCCAGCAGCCGCGGUAAUACGUAGGUGGCAAGCGUUGUCCGGAUUUACUGGGUGUAAAGGGCGUGCAGCCGGAGAGACAAGUCAGAUGUGAAAUCCACGGGCUCAACCCGUGAACUGCAUUUGAAACUGUUUCCCUUGAGUGUCGGAGAGGUAAUCGGAAUUCCUUGUGUAGCGGUGAAAUGCGUAGAUAUAAGGAAGAACACCAGUGGCGAAGGCGGAUUACUGGACGAUAACUGACGGUGAGGCGCGAAAGCGUGGGGAGCAAACAGGAUUAGAUACCCCAGUA